GUCGCGGUCCCGGUCCCUUUCCCGGUCCCUGUCCCUCCCGGCGGCGGGGCAGCCGGCCUGCCGGCGGUUUCGAGCAGCUCCGGGUGCGGGGGAGCUGCCGGGGGGGCGGCCCCGUCCCGGCCCCUCGGGCCGCGCGCUGUGAGGGGCUGUGCGGGCCCGGCCCGUGCCCCGCGGGCAGCUGCGGCCCCGCCGAGCCUGCCGCCGUCCUGCGGCCUCCUGCACUGCGGCCUCCUGCACUGCGGCCUCCUGCACGGCAGCCUCCCGCAGGGAUCACCUGUGUGCAGGGUGUCCGAAGUCCAUUUUCAGAGUAGUCGGGAAAUCCCACAGGAAAAAGAACACUUUCUCGCGUGAGCAAAGCAAACCCCAGGUACGCCUCGACCGUGCCAGCUGGCGGUGGUGACUCGUGGGGAGGGAUCCCAACAGUGCCUGGAGAGGGUCGGGCUCGUAAAGCUCCAGUUAUCUGCACAAACCCAGAGGAGCUCCAUGGCCAGAGGAGCUGCCCGAUGGAGCACAUGGAGCCCGGCACCAGCCAGGCUGGGAUGACUCCCCGGGAGUCCAGCUGCACUCUGGAGAAGAGAAAUGGAGAG